rnacentral:rRNA from 1 species
GACGAACGCUGGCGGCGUGCUUAACACAUGCAAGUCGAACGGAAAGGCCCUGCUUGCAGGGUGCUCGAGUGGCGAACGGGUGAGUAACACGUGGGUGAUCUGCCCCUUACUUUGGGAUAAGCCUGGGAAACUGGGUCUAAUACUGGAUAGGACCAUGCUGUAGGUGGUGUGGUAGAAAGAUUAGUUUCGGUAAGGGAUGAGCUCGCGGCCUAUCAGCUUGUUGGUGGGGUAAUGGCCUACCAAGGCGUCGACGGGUAGCCGGCCUGAGAGGGUGGACGGCCACAUUGGGACUGAGAUACGGCCCAGACUCCUACGGGAGGCAGCAGUGGGGAAUAUUGCACAAUGGGCGCAAGCCUGAUGCAGCGACGCCGCGUGGGGGAUGACGGCCUUCGGGUUGUAAACUCCUUUCAGCCAUGACGAAGCCCUUGUGGUGACGGUAGUGGUAGAAGAAGCACCGGCUAACUACGUG